rnacentral:tRNA from 1 species
GGCGCGGUAGGCAAUGGUUAGACCACUAACGCUCAGAUCGUUAGAUGAUUCUCGGUUCGAGUCCGAGUCGCGCUAC